AUGACGAACGACGUUGCUACGUCGGGGGAGAAGCAUGCUUUUGCAAGGGGCGCACUGCAACAUGGGGCCAGCUGCGAGGGUUGGGGGUCGCCGUUCGCAGCUGCUGCCAUGGAGCAUCUGGAAGCACCGUCGAGAGUCAUCGGCGCUGCGAGGCAACACUCGCCGGAGCCAGCCGGUGGCGAUGCAGCAUUCAAGCCACCGCAAAAUUGGAGGGGGCGCGACGCGCAGGGCAUAGAGCUCGCCGGCAGCAACCCCGUGCUCCGAUGCAGCACUCACUUGGGGCGGCUCCCCGUGCAGCAGCGUAGCGCUUGCCGGCGGCUCUCGAAGCUCGGUGCUUCAAUGGAGCUUUCACGCGGCGGGUACUGUGCUCCGAUGCAACGCUCGUCGCCGGUGCUACAACGCAUCACCAAGGAGGAGACAAGAGGCGGCGGCACUCACUGUGUUGUUGCAACGCAGCACGCAAGGGGCGGCAGGCGGCUACUCGUGCUCCGUUGCAACACUCGCCGACGGCUUGGGAUUUUGCAUGGCAGCACUCGCUGGCGACUCCCGAUGUUGAGAGAUCGAAGGAGGGAGAGGGGCCUGUUUGUGCGGUGGGAGGAGAAGACUGCGUGUGUUGACUAUUCAACCACUGAGAGGUCGUCUGCGAUCUCAUCGAGGGCCACGCGGAAGGUCGACUCCUGUGAUCUCGUCAAGGGCCACGCGAAGCGACUGCUGUCGUUCGGCCACACCAACCAUGGCGCCGGCGGGGAAUCUAUACUGCUCCCCUCAAUUGAACUGAUGCACCGUCUUGGCUUUGAGCUUCCUUCACCGUCGCGGACGCUCCGGCAGGGAGACCCACUGUCGCCCAUGUUAUUCACCAUCGCCAUCGCCCCACUUCACUGGAUGUUUCGAGAAGGCCUGCUCAGCUCAAUGGGUGCUCUUUCCACUUUGCAGCUCCCUCCCUCCCAGCUCAGGGUUGAUCUGGAUGCUCUUCUUCCGAAUUUUUCAAUUCCGGUGCUGCAAUUCCCCUGCAAGUAUCUUGGUCUACCGUUGCAUUACAUGAAAAUUACCAGAGCUUAUCUGCAACCCACCCUGGAUAAAAUGGUUUCGAGGCUGCAACGCUGGAAGGGAAACUACUCUCUAACUGCGCUUGUCUCCGGCUAA
rnacentral:rRNA from 1 species